rnacentral:tRNA from 1 species
GAGGGUAUAGCUCAAGUGGUAGAGUGUAUGCUUAGCAUGCAUGAGGUCCUGGGUUCAAUUCCUGGUACCUCCA